GGCCCCACAGGCUUACUGAUCCUAACCAAACUCCGAAUACCGGGGAGUACUAGAUGGCAGACACACGGCGAAUGCUAACGUCCGUCGUGAAGAGGGAAACAACCCUGACCUCCAGCUAAGGUCCCCAAGUCAUGGCUAAGUGGGAAAGGAUGUGAGACUCCCAAAACAACCAGGAUGUUGGCUUAGAAGCAGCCAUCAUUUAAAGAAAGCGUAACAGCUCACUGGUCUAAAUAAGGGGUCUUGCGCCGAAAAUGUACCGGGGCUAAAGCCAUGCACCGAAGCUGAGGAUGUGCAGUUUACUGCACGUGGUAGCGGAGCGUUCCGUAAGCCUGUGAAGGGAGACCCGUGAGGGCUCCUGGAGGUAUCGGAAGUGCGAAUGUUGACAUGAGUAACGAUAAAGGGAGUGAGAGACUCCCUCGCCGAAAGUCCAAGGGUUCCUGCUUAAAGCUAAUCUGAGCAGGGU
rnacentral:rRNA from 1 species